CAGCAGUAGCCGCGGUAAUACCGAGGGUGCAAGCGUUAAUCGGAAUUACUGGGCGUAAAGCGCGCGUAGGUGGUUUGUUAAGUUGGAUGUGAAAUCCCCGGGCUCAACCUGGGAACUGCAUCCAAAACUGGCAAGCUAGAGUAUGGUAGAGGGUGGUGGAAUUUCCUGUGUAGCGGUGAAAUGCGUAGAUAUAGGAAGGAACACCAGUGGCGAAGGCGACCACCUGGACUGAUACUGACACUGAGGUGCGAAAGCGUGGGGAGCAAACAGGAUUAGAUACCCCCGUAGUCCCUGUCUCUUAUAC
rnacentral:rRNA from 1 species